AGCCUGAACGCUGGCGGCGUGGCUAAGACAUGCAAGUCGUACGGGUGUAGCAAUACACCAGUGGCGGACGGGUGAGUAAAGUAUCGCUAACGUGCCCCGAAGUUCGGGAUAGCUGUCCGAAAGGACAGGUAAUACCGGGAGACAUUCCCAAGAGGCAUCUUUUGGGACUCAAAGGAGCAAUCCGUUUCGGGAGCGGGCGAUAUCGUAUCAGCUAGUUGGUGAGGUAACGGCUCACCAAGGCGACGACGCGUAGCCGGACUGAGAGGUUGGCCGGCCACAUUGGGACUGAGACACUGCCCAGACUCCUACGGGGGCUGCAGUAACGAAUCUUCCGCAAUGCACGCAAGUGUGACGGAGCGACGCCGCGUGUGGGACGAAGCCCUUCGGGGUGUAAACCACUGGUCAGGGGAUAGAAAGAUCUGAUCGUCCCCAGAGGAAGGCACGGCUAACUCUGCGCCAGCAGCCGCGGUAA
rnacentral:rRNA from 1 species